AUGUACAUUCCUGCUACAUAGUGUUAAUGCACCGAGUCCCAUUAUAACUUCGCAAUUAAGCGUGUUUGUGAUAGAGUAGCACUAGGAUGGGUGACCGCCUGGGAAGUUCUACUAUUUUACAUG
rnacentral:rRNA from 1 species